rnacentral:rRNA from 1 species
CUACGGGGGGCACCAGUGAGGAAUAUUGCACAAUGGGGGGAACCCUGAUGCAGCAACGCCGCGUGGAGGAUGACGCAUUUCGGUGUGUAAACUCCUUUUAUAUGUCAAGAAAAUGACGGUAGCAUAUGAAUAAGCACCGGCUAACUCCGUGCCAGCAGCCGCGGUAAUACGGAGGGUGCAAGCGUUACUCGGAAUCACUGGGCGUAAAGGACGCGUAGGCGGGAUUGUAAGUCAGGUGUGAAAUCCUACAGCUUAACUGUAGAACUGCACUUGAAACUACGAGCCUAGAGUAUGGGAGGGGCAGAUGGAAUUAGUGGUGUAGGGGUAAAAUCCGUAGAUAUCACUAGGAAUACCUAAAGCGAAGGCGAUCUGCUGGAACAUAACUGACGCUAAGGCGUGAAAGCGUGGGGAGCAAACAGGAUUAGAUACCCGGGUAGUC